CUCGGGGGGGGGGCGUGGAUCCCUCAGUCCGGAUUGUGAGAGGGUGCAGGCCAGGCUGAGGGACCCCACCAGUGCAUG
rfam:Myotis davidii contig193117, whole genome shotgun sequence.